rnacentral:rRNA from 1 species
GACUCGUCACACUAUCAUUAACUGAAUCCAUAGGUUAAUGAGGCGAACCGGGGGAACUGAAACAUCUAAGUACCCCGAGGAAAAGAAAUCAACCGAGAUUCCCCCAGUAGCGGCGAGCGAACGGGGAGGAGCCCAGAGCCUGAAUCAGCAUGUGUGUUAGUGGAAGCGUCUGGAAAGGCGCGCGAUACAGGGUGACAGCCCCGUACACAAAAGCGCAUGUGCUGUGAGCUCGAUGAGUAGGGCGGGACACGUGGUAUCCUGUCUGAAUAUGGGGGGACCAUCCUCCAAGGCUAAAUACUCCUGACUGACCGAUAGUGAACCAGUACCGUGAGGGAAAGGCGAAAAGAACCCCGGCGAGGGGAGUGAAAAAGAACCUGAAACCGUGUACGUACAAGCAGUGGGAGCCCCACCACUAAGCCAGUGGUGAACUCCACAUACGCAUCCUUUGCUGAGGAUACGGUUAACGGAGCGAAAGCGACGUUCAACCGCAAAAGAAGCAGAGGGGGCUUAGUGGUGGGGUGACUGCGUACCUUUUGUAUAAUGGGUCAGCGACUUAUAUUCUGUAGCAAGGUUAACCGAAUAGGGGAGCCGGAGGGAAACCGAGUCUUAAUUGGGCGUUAAGUUGCAGGGUAUAGACCCGAAACCCGGUGAUCUAGCCAUGGGCAGGUUGAAGGUUGGGUAACACUAACUGGAGGACCGAACCGACUAAUGUUGAAAAAUUAGCGGAUGACCUGUGGCUGGGGGUGAAAGGCCAAUCAAACCGGGAGAUAGCUGGUUCUCCCCGAAAGCUAUUUAGGUAGCGCCUCGUGAAUUCAUCUCCGGGGGUAGAGCACUGUUUCGGCUAGGGGGCCAUCCCGGCUUACCAACCCGAUGCAAACUGCGAAUACCGGAGAAUGUUAUCACGGGAGACACACGGCGGGUGCUAACGUCCGUCGUGAAGAGGGAAACAACCCAGACCGCCAGCUAAGGUCCCAAAGUCAUGGUUAAGUGGGAAACGAUGUGGGAAGGCCCAGACAGCCAGGAUGUUGGCUUAGAAGCAGCCAUCAUUUAAAGAAAGCGUAAUAGCUCACUGGUCGAGUCGGCCUGCGCGGAAGAUGUAACGGGGCUAAACCAUGCACCGAAGCUGCGGCAGCGACGCUGAUGCGUUGUUGGGUAGGGGAGCGUUCUGUAAGCCUGCGAAGGUGGCCUGUGAGGGUUGCUGGAGGUAUCAGAAGUGCGAAUGCUGACAUAAGUAACGAUAAAGCGGGUGAAAAGCCCGCUCGCCGGAAGACCAAGGGUUCCUGUCCAACGUUAAUCGGGGCAGGGUGAGUCGACCCCUAAGGCGAGGCCGAAAGGCGUAGUCGAUGGGAAACGGGUUAAUAUUCCCGUACUUGGUGUUACUGCGAAGGGGGGACGGAGAAGGCUAUGUUGGCCGGGCGACGGUUGUCCCGGUUUAAGCGUGUAGGUGUGUGUUCCAGGUAAAUCCGGUUCACUUUAACACUGAGGCGUGAUGACGAGGCACUACGGUGCUGAAGCAACAAAUGCCCUGCUUCCAGGAAAAGCCUCUAAGCAUCAGGUAACAUCAAAUCGUACCCCAAACCGACACAGGUGGUCAGGUAGAGAAUACCAAGGCGCUUGAGAGAACUCGGGUGAAGGAACUAGGCAAAAUGGUGCCGUAACUUCGGGAGAAGGCACGCUGACACGUAGGUGAAGUGAUUUACUCAUGGAGCUGAAGUCAGUCGAAGAUACCAGCUGGCUGCAACUGUUUAUUAAAAACACAGCACUGUGCAAACACGAAAGUGGACGUAUACGGUGUGACGCCUGCCCGGUGCCGGAAGGUUAAUUGAUGGGGUCAGCGCAAGCGAAGCUCCUGAUCGAAGCCCCGGUAAACGGCGGCCGUAACUAUAACGGUCCUAAGGUAGCGAAAUUCCUUGUCGGGUAAGUUCCGACCUGCACGAAUGGCGUAAUGAUGGCCAGGCUGUCUCCACCCGAGACUCAGUGAAAUUGAACUCGCUGUGAAGAUGCAGUGUACCCGCGGCAAGACGGAAAGACCCCGUGAACCUUUACUAUAGCUUGACACUGAACAUUGAGCCUUGAUGUGUAGGAUAGGUGGGAGGCUUUGAAGUGUGGACGCCAGUCUGCAUGGAGCCGACCUUGAAAUACCACCCUUUAAUGUUUGAUGUUCUAACGUGGACCCGUGAUCCGGGUUGCGGACAGUGUCUGGUGGGUAGUUUGACUGGGGCGGUCUCCUCCUAAAGAGUAACGGAGGAGCACGAAGGUUGGCUAAUCCUGGUCGGACAUCAGGAGGUUAGUGCAAUGGCAUAAGCCAGCUUGACUGCGAGCGUGACGGCGCGAGCAGGUGCGAAAGCAGGUCAUAGUGAUCCGGUGGUUCUGAAUGGAAGGGCCAUCGCUCAACGGAUAAAAGGUACUCCGGGGAUAACAGGCUGAUACCGCCCAAGAGUUCAUAUCGACGGCGGUGUUUGGCACCUCGAUGUCGGCUCAUCACAUCCUGGGGCUGAAGUAGGUCCCAAGGGUAUGGCUGUUCGCCAUUUAAAGUGGUACGCGAGCUGGGUUUAGAACGUCGUGAGACAGUUCGGUCCCUAUCUGCCGUGGGCGCUGGAGAACUGAGGGGGGCUGCUCCUAGUACGAGAGGACCGGAGUGGACGCAUCACUGGUGUUCGGGUUGUCAUGCCAAUGGCACUGCCCGGUAGCUAAAUGCGGAAGAGAUAAGUGCUGAAAGCAUCUAAGCACGAAACUUGCCCCGAGAUGAGUUCUCCCUGAGACUUUAGGUCUCCUGAAGGAACGUUGAAGACGACGACGUUGAUAGGCCGGGUGUGUAAGCGCAGCGAUGCGUUGAGCUAACCGGUACUAAUGAACCGUGAGGCUUAACCUUACA